GCCUCUAUGGUAUAGUGGUUUUGUGUUAUAGAGUUCUGUAUAGGUUAGCACUUGGAUCGCUAGUUCGAAUCCAGCUAGAGGCA
rnacentral:tRNA from 1 species